UACGUAGGGUGCGAGCGUUAAUCGGAAUUACUGGGCGUAAAGCGUGCGCAGGCGGUUUUUUAAGUCAGAUGUGAAAUCCCCGGGCUUAACCUGGGAACUGCGUUUGAAACUACAAGGCUAGAGUGUGGCAGAGGGGGGUGGAAUUCCACGUGUAGCAGUGAAAUGCGUAGAUAUCUGGAGGAACACCGGUGGCGAAGGCGGCAUCCUGGACCGGCAUUGACGCUGAGGAGCGAAAGCCAGGGGAGCAAACGGG
rnacentral:rRNA from 1 species